rnacentral:rRNA from 1 species
UACGUAGGUGGCGAGCGUUAUCCGGAAUGAUUGGGCGUAAAGGGUGCGUAGGUGGCAGAUCAAGUCUGGAGUAAAAGGUAUGGGCUCAACCCGUACUGGCUCUGGAAACUGAUCAGCUAGAGAACAGAAGAGGACGGCGGAACUCCAUGUGUAGCGGUAAAAUGCGUAGAUAUAUGGAAGAACAUCGGUGGCGAAGGCGGCCGUCUGGUCUGGAUUCUGACACUGAAGCACGAAAGCGUGGGGAGCAAAUAGG